UGACGUCACACGAGGGGGCGGGGCAACCCAGCACAAGCGAACGCCUCGAGAACAAACAGUCACUUCCCACGAAUGCCUUGCUGCCGACAUCAUCAUCAUCACUCGAAAUAUACAUAUGAAAUAAGAGAACCCACAACAUUACAAGUUAUACAUAAAUGAAACUGUUACAGAGGCAGCCAUUCAUCCUGUACACGUGCGUACUGUACUGUAACAUUCGUACAGACGUGAGCCCAUUACUAACACAUAGGCGAACAUUCGAAAACUUACAGUAACAGUGAAGACCACUGUGAAACCGCGGCUAAGGGUGAAGAAGAGUAGAGAUAAUAAUAAUUGUUGCUGCAAUGAACACACACACACACACACACACACACACACACACACACACACACACACACACACACACACACACACACACACACACACACACACACACACACACAUUCUUUACAUAA